rnacentral:rRNA from 1 species
AUCAUGGUUAAGGAACUCGGCAAAAUGCCCCCGUAACUUCGGGAGAAGGGGGGCCCUGAGCGUGAUCUGCCCGUGCGGUGGGGAGCGUGUAGGGGUCGCAGAGACCAGGGGGAAGCGACUGUUUAUCAAAAACACAGGUCCGUGCGAAGUCGUAAGACGAUGUAUACGGACUGACUCCUGCCCGGUGCUGGAAGGUUAAGAGGAUUGGUUAGCCUUUUUUGGGCGAAGCUGAGAAUUUAAGCCCCAGUAAACGGCGGUGGUAACUAUAACCAUCCUAAGGUAGCGAAAUUCCUUGUCGGGUAAGUUCCGACCUGCACGAAUGGCGUAACGACUUCUCCGCUGUCUCAACCGCGAACUCGGUGAAAUUGCAGUACGAGUAAAGAUGCUCGUUUCGCGCAGAAGGACGGAAAGACCCCGGGACCUUUACUAUAGCUUGGUAUUGGUGUUCGCUUGGACUUGUGUAGGAUAGGUGGGAGACUGUGAAGCUGCCGCGCCAGCGGUGGUGGAGUCGUCGUUGAAAUACCAUUCUGGUUCAAGCGGUCACCUUAACCUUGGCCCGUGAUCCGGGUUGGGGACAGUGCCUGGUGGGUAGUUUAACUGGGGCGGUUGCCUCCUAAAAUGUAACGGAGGCGCUCAAAGGUUCCCUCAGCCUGGUUGGUAAUCAGGUGGCGAGUGCAAGUGUACAAGGGAGCUUGACUGUGAGACCGACGGGUCGAGCAGGUGCGAAAGCAGGAACUAGUGAUCCGGCCAUGGCACGUGGGUGCGUGGUCGCUCAACGGAUAAAAGGUACCCCGGGGAUAACAGGCUGAUCUUGCCCAAGAGUCCAUAUCGACGGCAUGGUUUGGCACCUCGAUGUCGGCUCGUCGCAUCCUGGGGCUGGAGUCGGUCCCAAGGGUUGGGCUGUUCGCCCAUUAAAGCGGUACGCGAGCUGGGUUCAGAACGUCGUGAGACAGUUCGGUCCCUAUCCGCUGCGCGCGUUGGAAAUUUGAGAAAGGCUGUCCUUAGUACGAGAGGACCGGGACGGACGAACCUCUGGUAUGUCAGUUGUACCGCCAGGUGCAUGGCUGAUUGGCUACGUUCGGGAGGGAUAACCGCUGAAAGCAUCUAAGCGGGAAGCCUGUUUCGAGAUGAGAUUUCCUGGCACUUUGGUGUGUGAGGCUCCUUAUAGAUGAUGAGGUUGAUAGGCCGGGUAUGGAAGCGGGGACUGAAGACUCGUGGAGUUGACUGGUACUAAUAGGCCGAAGGCUUACUU